GGAGAGAAGAGGAAGAUGGACGCCGGACCACGCCUCUCCAGGGAUAAGUCAGGCUGUCCCUGUGAUAAGAAAAGAAGGCUGGCACCACCGGAGGAGAGAAAGGACGUACCAUCUAAGGCAGGCGGUUCCGGAAUAGGAGGGAAGAGAAAGCGGGACGCCGGACCUCUCCUGGCCAGGGAUGAUAAGGACUGUCC